ensembl:lncRNA
GUGGAAGGGUCCUGGAAGGUCACAGAGAUACGGACUGGUUGCUGUGGAAGGGUCCUGGAAGGUCACAGAGCUAUGGAGUGGUUUGGAUAGAAGGGUCCUGGAAGGUCACAGCAAUACGGAGUGAUUGGGGCGGAAGGGUCCUGGAAGGUCACAGAGAUGUGGGGUGGUUGGGGCGGAAGGGUCCUGGAAGGUCACAGCAAUACGGGGUGGUGGGGCUGGAAGGGUCCUGGAAGGUCAUCACUGAAUGGGUUUUAUUGGAAGGGUCCUGGAAGGUCAUCACUGAAUGGAUGGGAUUGGAAAGGUCCUGGAAGGUCAUCACUAAAUGGACAUGGUUGGAAGGGUCCUGGAAGGUCAUCACUGAAUGGAUGGGGUUGGAAAGGUCCUGGAAGGUCAUCACUGAAUGGGUUUUAUUGGAAGGGUCCUGGAAGGUCAUCACUGAAUGGAUGGGAUUGGAAAGGUCCUGGAAGGUCAUCACUGAAUGGAUGGGAUUGGAAAGGUCCUGGAAGGUCAUCACUGAAUGGAUGGGAUUGGAAGGGUCCUGGAAGGUCAUCACUGAAUGGAUGGGAUUGGAAAGGUCCUGGAAGGUCUCAUUAAAUGGACGGGAUUGGAAAGGUCCUGGAAGGUCAUCACUGAAUGGAUGGGGUUGGAAAGGUCCUGGAAGGUCAUCACUGAAUGGAUGGGAUUGGAAAGGUCCUGGAAGGUCAUCACUGAAUGGAUGGGAUUGGAAGGGUCCUGGAAGGUCAUCACUGAAUGGGUGGGGUUGGAAAGGUCCUGGAAGGUCAUCACUGAAUGGAUGGGGUUGGAAAGGUCCUGGAAGGUCAUCACUGAGUGGGUUUUAUUGGAAGGGUCCUGGAAGGUCAUCACUGAAUGGAUGGGGUUGCAAAGGUCCUGGAAGGUCAUCACUGAACGGUUUUUAUUAGAGGGGUCCUGAAAGGUCAUCACAGAGGGGGUUGAAGGGUCCUGGAAGGUCAUCACUGAAUGGGUUUUAUUGGAAGGGUCCUGGAAGGUCAUCACUGAGUGGGUUGGACUGGAAGGGUCCUGGAAGGUCAUCACUGAACGGGUUGGACUGGAAGGGUCCUGGAAGGUCAUUACUGAAUGGAUGGGGUUGGAAAGGUCCUGGAAGGUCAUCACUGAAUGGAUGGGGUUGGAAAGGUCCUGGAAGGUCAUCACUGAACAGAUUUAAUUAGAAGGGUCCUGGAAGGUCAUGACUGAAUGAAUGGGAUUGGAAAGGUCCUGGAAGGUCAUCACUGAGCGGGUUGGACUGGAAGGGUCCUGGAAGGUCAUCACUGAACGGGUUUUAUUGGAAGGGUCCUGGAAGGUCACCACUGAGUGGGUUUUAUUGGAAAGGUCCUGGAAGGUCUCUGGGAGAGGGACGGCGGCGCGCCGUGACGCCUCCCAUUGGCGC